rnacentral:rRNA from 1 species
AGUGAACGCUGGCGGUAGGCCUAACACAUGCAAGUCGAACGGCAGCACAGAGGAGCUUGCUCCUUGGGUGGCGAGUGGCGGACGGGUGAGGAAUACAUCGGAAUCUACUCUGUCGUGGGGGAUAACGUAGGGAAACUUACGCUAAUACCGCAUACGACCUACAGGUGAAAGCAGGGGAUCUUCGGACCUUGCGCGAUUGAAUGAGCCGAUGUCGGAUUAGCAAGUUGGCGGGGUAAAGGCCCACCAAGGCAACGAUCCGUAGCUGGUCUGAGAGGAUGAUCAGCCACACUGGAACUGAGACACGGUCCAGACUCCUACGGGAGGCAGCAGUGGGGAAUAUUGGACAAUGGGCGCAAGCCUGAUCCAGCCAUACCGCGUGGGUGAAGAAGGCCUUCGGGUUGUAAAGCCCUUUUGUUGGGAAAGAAAUCCAUCUGGUUAAUACCCGGGUGGGAUGACGGUACCCAAAGAAUAAGCACCGGCUAACUUCGUGCCAGCCGCCGCCGUAA